rnacentral:rRNA from 1 species
UACGUAGGGUGCGAGCGUUAAUCGGAAUUACUGGGCGUAAAGCGUGCGUAGGCGGUUCGUUGUGUCUGUGGUGAAAGCCCCGGGCUUAACCUGGGAAUGGCCAUGGAAACUGGCGAGCUGGAGUGUGGCAGAGGGGGUGGGAAUUCCGCGUGUAGCAGUGAAAUGCGUAGAGAUGCGGAGGAACACCGAUGGCGAAGGCAGCCCCCUGGGCUAACACUGACGCUGAUGCGCGAAAGCGUGGGGAGCGAUCCGG